UACGGGAGGCAGCAGUGGGGAAUAUUGCACAAUGGGCGCAAGCCUGAUGCAGCCAUGCCGCGUGUAUGAAAAAGGCCUUCGGGUUGUAAAGUACUUUCAGUCGUGAGGAAGGUGUUAAGGUUAAUAACCUUAGCAAUUGACGUUAGCGACAGAAGAAGCACCGGCUAACUCCGUGCCAGCAGCCGCGGUAAUACGGAGGGUGCGAGCGUUAAUCGGAAUUACUGGGCGUAAAGGGCACGCAGGCGGUUAAUUAAGUUGGAUGUGAAAUCCCCGGGCUUAACCUGGGAAUGGCAUUCAAGACUGGUUAGCUAGAGUCUUGUAGAGGGGGUAGAAUUCCAUGUGUAGCGGUGAAAUGCGUAGAGAUGUGGAGGAAUACCGGUGGCGAAGGCGGCCCCUGGACAAAGACUGACGCUCAUGUGCGAAGCGUGGGGAGCGAACAGGAGUUAGAGU
rnacentral:rRNA from 1 species